rnacentral:rRNA from 1 species
UACGUAGGGGGCAAGCGUUGUCCGGAUUUAUUGGGCGUAAAGAGCGUGUAGGCGGCCUGGAAGGUCAGCUGUGAAAACUCGAGGCUCAACCUCGAGACGUCGGUUGAAACCACCUGGCUAGAGUCCGGAAGAGGAGAAUGGAAUUCCCGGUGUAGCGGUGAAAUGCGCAGAUAUCGGGAAGAACACCCGUGGCGAAGGCGGCGACCUGGGACAAUACUGACACUGAGGUGCGAAAGCGUGGGGAGCAAACAGG